CGAGGGGGCGAGCAUGUCACCGUCGUACGGGUCGCGUAACGCGUAUGUCAACCGUACCUUCAACUGGGGGAGUAGCCGGGGAAACCCGGAGUUAAUACCGCAUAAUACAUUGGUGUAGCAUUACAUUAUUUGUUUAAAGAGUUUAUUGGUUGAAGAUGGGCAUGCGUUCGAUUAGCUAGUUGGUGCAGGUAACGGCUCACCAAGGCGACGAUCGGAUAGGGGAGCUGAGAGGUUGAUCCCCCACACGGGCACUGAGAUACGGGCCCGACUCCUACGGGAGGCAGCAGUUGGGAAUAUUGGGCAAUGGAUGCAAGUCUGACCCAGCCAUGCCGCGUGCCGGAUGAAGGCCCUCAGGGUUGUAAACGGCUUUUAUUCGGGAAGAAGAGCAGGGAUGCGUCCCUGUGUGACGGUACCGAAUGAAUAAGCACCGGCUAACUCCGUG
rnacentral:rRNA from 1 species